rnacentral:rRNA from 1 species
AUUGAACGCUGGCGGCAUGCCUUACACAUGCAAGUCGAACGGUAACAGGUCUUCGGAUGCUGACGAGUGGCGAACGGGUGAGUAAUACAUCGGAACGUGCCUAGUAGUGGGGGAUAACUACUCGAAAGAGUGGCUAAUACCGCAUGAGAUCUACGGAUGAAAGCAGGGGAUCGCAAGACCUUGUGCUACUAGAGCGGCCGAUGGCAGAUUAGGUAGUUGGUGGGAUAAAAGCUUACCAAGCCGACGAUCUGCAGCUGGUCUGAAAGGACGAUCAGCCACACUGGGACUGAGACACGGCCCAGACUCCUACGGGAGGCAGCAGUGGGGAAUUUUGGACAAUGGGCGCAAGCCUGAUCCAGCAAUGCCGCGUGCAGGAUGAAGGCCUUCGGGUUGUAAACUGCUUUUGUACGGAACGAAAAGCCCCGGGUUAAUACCCUGGGGUCAUGACGGUACCGUAAGAAUAAGCACCGGCUAACUACGUGCCAGCCGCCGCCGUAA